rnacentral:lncRNA from 1 species
AAGCAAGCCAGUAAAGAACAUCCCUCCAUGGCCUCUGCAUCAGCUCCUGCUUUCUGACCUGCUUGAGUUCCAGUCCUGCAUCCUUUGGUGAUCAACAGCAGUAUGGAAAUAACUUGAAGUAAGACCAUAUAAUUGAAGACACCACACCCUUUGGACCGAACACUAGGAGGAAUUGAGACAGAGAGGAUCUGGAAGUCUCCUCUGUGAGGACCAGCAUCUGGAGCAGCUAUGUAAGCUGCCUGUAGAGAAAGCAAUCAACAGUCAUACCCAGCUACAAAGCCUGUGUGAGCCACAACUGACCUAGGAAGAUCGUUCUGAGGAUGUAAUGACGGCACUUAUAUAACUGGGGGUAACCAACGGCUGCUUAAUUAGAACUAAGGAACACUCACUAAGAAGAAAUCCAUGCUGGAUACUGUAAUACUAGCUUGUGUCUGAUAAGGUCACAGACACACCAGCCUGCUACUGACCUUGAAGGUCUCACUAUGCAUCCCUGGUUGGCCUGAAACUAUGUUGGCUAGGUUGCUCUCAAUUUCAGAGAUGUCUGCCUGCCUCUGCCUCCAGGAUGCUAAAAUUGAGGAUGCCACUAUCCUGACUAUAGCACACGCCAUGAGCCAUCUCUCCAUUUCUUAGAUAUAAACUGUAAAGACAUAUAGGGUAGCCUUUAUCAUAUGUAAAAUUAUAAUUACUAAUUUUCACUGUUUUGUGGUGUCUCAUGUGUAUAGACAAAAUUACAUUAUUGUAGUCUACUAGCAAUGUUAUUUCAGAUGUUUACAACUUGGGAUUAUUAUUAAAAAAUAUUAUCAUGUGCAUCCUGAAAUCCUUGAGCGUGCAGAAAGUACAAAUCCAUUUGUUUUUAUUUAGCAAAAUUUUUGCAAAGUAGUUAUACUAAUUUAUAGUUCCACCAGCAUCAUGUCAAUUUUCUUUACUCUGUAUUUUUAGGGAUAGGUAUUGUCAAAUGUCUUAAUUUCUUGAAUCUCAUAGUAUAGAUAGACCUGCAUCUCUCUAUGACUUUAAUUAGAAUUUUCCAGAUUACUAACAAGGGAGAAAGUUUUCCUUUGUGUAUAAAAUGAUUAUUUUUCUUUUUCUCUAUUCAUUUUUACCUCGUUCCCUUUUUCUUUAUUGAUUUGACAAAAUUCAUGUGUUGUUCCUAUAAAUAUUUCUACCAGCAAU